AAGCGGCGGACGGGUGAGUAACGCGUGGGUAACCUACCCUGUACACACGGAUAACAUACCGAAAGGUAUGCUAAUACGGGAUAAUAUAUUUGAGAGGCAUCUCUUAAAUAUCAAAGGUGAGCCAGUACAGGAUGGACCCGCGUCUGAUUAGCUAGUUGGUAAGGUAACGGCUUACCAAGGCGACGAUCAGUAGCCGACCUGAGAGGGUGACCGGCCACAUUGGGACUGAGACACGGCCCAA
rnacentral:rRNA from 1 species